GACGAACGCUGGCGGCGUGCUUAACACAUGCAAGUCGAACGGAAAGGCCCUGCUUUUGUGGGGUGCUCGAGUGGCGAACGGGUGAGUAACACGUGAGUAACCUGCCCUUGACUUUGGGAUAACUUCAGGAAACUGGGGCUAAUACCGGAUAGGAGCUCCUGCUGCAUGGUGGGGGUUGGAAAGUUUCGGCGGUUGGGGAUGGACUCGCGGCUUAUCAGCUUGUUGGUGGGGUAGUGGCUUACCAAGGCUUUGACGGGUAGCCGGCCUGAGAGGGUGACCGGCCACAUUGGGACUGAGAUACGGCCCAGACUCCUACGGGAGGCAGCAGGGGGGAAUAUGGCACAAUGGGCGGAAGCCUGAUGCAGCAACGCCGCGUGCGGGAUGACGGCCUUCGGGUGGUAAACCGCUUUCGCCUGUGACGAAGCGUGAGGGACGGUAAUGGGUAAAGAAGCACCGGCGAACUACGU
rnacentral:rRNA from 1 species